rnacentral:lncRNA from 1 species
UUAGUUUUUUUAUUUAUGGGAAAACUUCAAAAACCCCCCCUGUGGUUUCGUAGUUUCUUACUUUGCCCCCCUAUGAUUUAAAAUGUAUCAAUUUGCCCUCUCCCGUGGUUUUGUUUUUCUCUUUUUCUUAUCAAUUUCAUUAUUUUUUUUUUCUUAAAUCAGUAAUAAAGUUAAAAUUAAAGGGUACUAAAGUGAGUAUUUGAUAAAUCUAGAUGGGUAUCUGAAGUUUUUUGUAUAUAAUUUAACGAAAUAUUAACGAAAAAGCUAUCGAAAAGAUAAAAACGAAACGACAGGGGAGCAAAUUGAUGCAGUUUAAACCACAGGGGGGCAAAGUGAAAACUACGAAACCACAUGAGGGUUUUUAAAGUUU